GAUGAACGCUGGCGGCGUGCCUAAUACAUGCAAGUAGAACGCUGAAGCUUGGUGCUUGCACCGAGCGGAUGAGUUGCGAACGGGUGAGUAACGCGUAGGUAACCUGCCUCUUAGCGGGGGAUAACUAUUGGAAACGAUAGCUAAUACCGCAUAAAAGUCGAUAUCGCAUGAUAUUGAUUUGAAAGGUGCAAAUGCAUCACUAAGAGGUGGACCUGCGUUGUAUUAGCUAGUUGGUGAGGUAACGGCUCACCAAGGCGACGAUACAUAGCCGACCUGAGAGGGUGAACGGCCACACUGGGACUGGGACACGGCCCAGACUCCUACGGGAGGCAGCAGGAGGGAAUCUUCGGCAAUGGGGGCAACCCUGACCGAGCAACGCCGCGUGAGUGAAGAAGGUUUUCGGAUCGUAAAGCUCUGUUGUAAGAGAAGAACGAGUGUGAGAGUGGAAAGUUCACACUGUGACGGUAACUAACCAGAAAGGGACGGCUAACUACGUG
rnacentral:rRNA from 1 species